rnacentral:rRNA from 1 species
GAUUUCUGGUUUGGUGCGCCUGAUCCACGGUCGCAAGACCGCGAGUAUCGGUGUGCGCCUGCCAUCUUUCUGGUUAACCAGACGCACUUAACUGUGCGGCUGGCGAUCCAGAUCUUUUACUUUGAAAAAAUUAGAGUGUUUAAAGCAGGCUUUCGCUAUGAAUAUAUUAGCAUGGAAUAAUAAUUUAGGACUUUGCUUCUAUUUUAUUGGUUCUAGAGGUAAAGUAAUGAUUGAUAGGGAUAGUUGGGGGUGCUAGUAUUCAUCGGCCAGAGGUGAAAUUCUUGGAUUCGAUGAAGACUAACUAAUGCGAAAGCAUU